rnacentral:rRNA from 1 species
ACGAACGCUGGCGGCGUGCUUGACACCUGCAAGUCGAACGGAAAGGCCCUGCUUUUGUGGGGUGCUCGAGUGGCGAACGGGUGAGUAACACGUGAGUAACCUGCCCUUGACUUUGGGAUAACUUCAGGAAACUGGGGCUAAUACCGGAUAGGAGCUCCUGCUGCAUGGUGGGGGUUGGAAAGUUUCGGCGGUUGGGGAUGGACUCGCGGCUUAUCAGCUUGUUGGUGGGGUAGUGGCUUACCAAGGCUUUGACGGGUAGCCGGCCUGAGAGGGUGACCGGCCACAUUGGGACUGAGAUACGGCCCAGACUCCUACGGGAGGCAGCAGUGGGGAAUAUUGCACAAUGGGCGGAAGCCUGAUGCAGCAACGCCGCGUGCGGGAUGACGGCCUUCGGGUUGUAAACCGCUUUCGCCUGUGACGAAGCGUGAGUGACGGUAAUGGGUAAAGAAGCACCGGCUAACUACGUG